AGUUCCGUGGUGUAUAACAUUUCGGAUUGCAAAUCCGAAGAAGCAGGUUAAUGACCCGCCGGGACUU
rnacentral:tRNA from 1 species